rnacentral:rRNA from 1 species
UACGGAGGGGGCGAGCGUUGUCCGAAGUUACUGGGCGUAAAGCGCGUGUAGGCGGCCCGGUAAGUCCGCUGUGAAAGUCCAGGGCUCAACCCUGGGAUGCCGGUGGAUACUGUCGGGCUCGAGUCCGGAAGAGGCGAGUGGAAUUCCUGGUGUAGCGGUGAAAUGCGCAGAUAUCAGGAGGAACACCAAUGGCGAAGGCAGCUCGCUGGGACGUGACUGACGCUGAGACGCGAAAGCGUGGGGAGCAAACAGG